rnacentral:lncRNA from 1 species
AAGAUUUAUCAAAGCAUCAUCUUCAACACUACACACACAUACAGCCUCUCUCUAUUUCCUCGCUUCUAAUUAGUAAGGUACCGUGAAGGAGAAGAAAGAAAGAGAUAAGGACAAAUAUGGGAAUCCUUUUUGAAGAAACCUUGAGCUCUAACGGUAAAACCCAAAUUGUUAUUGAUGAUGAUAAUGAGUUGGGUUUGGUGGCCGUGAGACUAGCCAAUGCUGCAGCCUUCCCAAUGGUUCUCAAAGCUUCCCUCGAGCUCGGUGUCUUCGACACUCUCUAUGCCGCCUCUGAGUUCCUCUCACCUUCCGAAAUAGCGAGCCGGCUACCAACCACACCUCGCAACCCUGGGGCGCCGGUUUUGUUGGAUCGUAUGCUUCGUCUACUCGCUAGCUACUCCAUGGUCAAGUGCGGUACGGUCCAAGCCGGAAAGGGCGAGAGGGUCUACAAAGCCGAGCCGAUUUGCAGGUUUUUCUUGAAGGAUAACAUUCAAGAUAUUGGAUCGCUUGCUUCUCAAGUCAUUGUCAAUUUCGACAGCGUCUUCCUUAAUACCUGGUAUUUUUCUAUUCAUCGAUUGAGAUGUUUUAAAACAUUCAAAUUAAACCAUGAAUCUUAUGUUAUGGAUACGCUGUUUUCACAGGGCACAAUUGAAAGAUGUGGUGCUAGAAGGAGGAGAUGCGUUUGGCCGUGCACAUGGUGGGAUGAAAAUCUUCGACUAUAUGGGCACAGAUGAGAGAUUCAGCAAACUCUUUAACCAGACCGGAUUCACCAUCGCUGUUGUGAAGAAGGCUCUUGAAGUUUACCAAGGCUUCAAAGGUGUGAAUGUUUUGGUUGAUGUAGGAGGAGGAGUUGGUAACACUCUUGGUGUAGUUACUUCGAAGUAUCCUAACAUUAAAGGUAUCAAUUUUGAUCUGCCUUGUGCCUUGGCACAAGCACCUUCUUACCUUGGGGUAGAACAUGUCGCCGGAGAUAUGUUUGUUGAUAUCCCAACCGGAGAUGCCAUGAUCUUGAAAGUAAGUCCAACAACCCUCUUAUUUUAACACAUACUUACUAGAAGUGUAUGUAUGUUGUACAUUGUGCUUACUUUUUGGGAUUAAAUUUGUUUUACAGCGUAUACUUCAUGACUGGACCGACGAAGACUGCGUAAAGAUUCUUAAAAACUGUUGGAAAUCACUUCCUGAAAACGGUAAAGUUGUUGUCAUAGAAUUAGUCACUCCUGAUGAGGCAGAAAAUGGGGACAUCAACGCGAACAUUGCCUUUGAUAUGGACAUGUUGAUGUUCACACAAUGUUCCGGCGGAAAAGAGAGAUCACGAGCUGAGUUUGAAGCUUUAGCCAUGGAAUCAGGCUUUACACAUUGCAAGUUCGUUUGUCCCGCUUACCACUGUUGGAUUAUUGAGUUUUGCAAAGAAAAUGUUUAAAAAUAUAAUGAGGAAUCCUCAUGCAUCAAUUGUUAAUUUCAUCUUCGCUUUAUUCCUUGUUUGCGAUGAUCAUGCCUUUGUCCUUGUCUUCAAUGCAAUGAAAUAAAAAUAAGCUUUUAGAUUUAUUUUUUAACAGUCCACUCGCUGAAAAAUAACGGCUAGCUACUUCUCUAUUUUAAUGUUUCAAUUUUUCUAUUAUCAUGCAUAUGUUUGAAAGAAUCUUUUCAUAAUAAAUUAAUAUUCUAAUAAUGUAGUCUUUUAAGAAUACAGUUUUAAGUAUAAGAUAUCAUAUAUGAUGGGACGAAUAUCCGAUAAAAAAGAAACUGAGUCAAUUUUAAGGUUUUAUCCUUGGUAACUAUAAAUUCGGAAGGUGUGUGCAACGAUUAUAAAAAAUGCCACGAUACGAGCAUAGUAGUGUACAUAAAAUCCACGAUAAUGUUUGAUAUUUAUCUCUAUAUACACUUCUAUGCUCGUAUCGUGGAUUUUAUGUUCAUAAUUAAUUAAUUAAAGAUCUUUUAAAAAUAAAUAAAUUAAUUAAAGAUGUAUUUAAGUUUACUGAUAAGGUUAAGUUGUAGGAGUUAAAAUUUAGAUAAGUAAGAAAAUUACAAUUGAUGGAAUUACAAUGUUCGUAUAUGGUUUUGGAGGAAAAUGAAAAAUAGAGUUUAUUUUAUUGUUAUGUCAUUGAUUUAAAUUGUCUUUCUUUCCCCAGAAAUAUGCAACCUUCUUAUCCAUCCAUAACAACUCAUCAGUCAUCAGGCUCACUCACCUACCACCGUAAUAACCAUGCAAAGACAAAGGCAAUUUCAGUCACACACGUAACAACUUUGUAAUUUACUUAAAUUGGUCCAUUAUAUGGUUACUCUUUGAAUUUUAAGUUUUCUUAUGAUUAUUGAUCUAAUUAACCCAAAACUAUAUAAGUAAAAAUGAAGUUUGACAAUCCAAAACUCGUGACCUUCCUAGAAGGCCGAUUCAAGAUGGAGGCCAUAGAGGACAAGCGUGAUGUUUACACUCACUUCGGUCCAAAUUACAGCAGAUAUAUUAUCCUACUAAAGAAAAAUAAAAUAAAGAUUUCCGUAUUUUUCUUGUCCUUCCUAUGUCGCAAUCGUUCAAAUCAAGUUGGAGACUUGGAGCUAUGCGUUUCUCUGCGUAUUAUAAUUUAUUUUAUUAUUAUGCGAUCAAACUGAAGAACAAAAUAAAUAAGAUAUUUGCUUAUUAUUUUAUUUUCUUUUAUAACCGAUAUUUGCGAACGUAAUAUACACUUUUAUAGUCACUUGGUCUACCAUAGUGAUGAAAUUAAAGUGACUGUCGUCUCCUUUGAACAUUGACUUUUCAAAACCAAUUGACUUGAAACAAGAUUUAGCUGUUUCAGCCGCAACAAGGGCCUCUUACUUUUCCACAUCGAGACUAUUCAGCCAGCCAAGUGGACCGGCACGCCAACGAUAUAAUUCAAUGAAUACAAUAAAUUUAGUUAAAAUAAUAUGAGGAGGCUAUAAAGCCUUAGCUAUAAAAGGAGAAAUCAUCUUCAUCAACACUACAAAUAAGAAACACACAUACACAGCCUCUCUCUCCCUAUCUAUCUUUCCUCGCUUCUGAUCAGAGUGAUCACGUACGGUACCGUGAAAGAGAAGAAAGAAAAAAAUGGGAAUCCUUUUUGAAGAAACCUUGAGCUCUAACCCCCAAACCCAAAUUGUUAUUGAUGAUGAUGAUAAUGAGUUGGGAUUGAUGGCCGUGAGACUAGCCAAUGCUGCAGCCUUUCCAAUGGUUCUCAAAGCUUCCCUCGAGCUCGGUGUCUUUGACACUCUCUAUGCCGCCUCUGAGUUCCUCUCAC